rnacentral:lncRNA from 1 species
GGCCCGACUGUUUCAAUUGGUAUCAGAGCCACUCUGAGUCAGAAAAAUUGUGCGGAGCUAGUGGGCCUGCGAGGAAAGGGCUACCCGUGAGAGACGAGACGAGGUGGAGCCACCUGAGGUACUAGCGAACCACAAUACCUAAGGGUCCGGUCCUGGUUAGCAAUUGUAAUGGAUUCAGUUGCGACGAGGACGUCGCAAAAUUUAGCGAACCACAAUACCUAAGGGUCCGGUCCUGGUUAGCAAUUGUAAUGGAUUCAGUUGCGACGAGGACGUCGCAAAAUUUAGCGGGACCGAGUGUAACAGUCAGCUGCCUGCUUGGCGGAAUUGCGG